GAGAAGCAGGCUUAAGGCUAAGCUUCUGGGGUCAAGACCUGAAACUAUGCUGCAGAAGUGACCCAAUAAGGAAGCCGCUGACCCUGCUUUCCCCCAGAGCCCAGAGUGGCUGCCGGGAACGCACACUGUACUGGAGCUCUGCCAGCACUGAUGCUUCUGGGCCAGGAACUGUCCUUACAACAACUGGUACCCCGGAAGACUGGAUGCCUCUGCCACCACCCUUGUCAAACGGUUGAUACACUAAAACUCAAAGAGGAAAGGAAGGAUGUAUCCUAUUGGAAACUGACGAUCUAAACUAAAAGAAAGGAGAGUAGCAGAGACUUCAAAAUGUUGAAAACUCUCUUAUCACAACAGAAGCUAAAAACUCUGAUGUCCAGAGUCAUAAAGACAAGAAACAGGAUCACAACAGCAAGGAAAAUAUAGAUUAAACAAUAACAGAAGAGAGAGAAAAUUUAUGUAAUUUGGGACAUUCCAGGACAAAGAACAGAAGAACAGACCGAGGAGUGGCAGCACUGCGCAUGUGCAAGACAGGAACCCACGUCUCCAGGAUGACCCCAGAACCAAGGAUCUUCAGUCCACAGAACUCAAAGAAUAGAAGUGUUGCCACUGGAGCCCUUUACGAAGCAAGAAGUCCUUCAAUAAGGAAAAUCUGGCCUCCUGCACCGCAAGGCUGUCUCCACUACUCCUCUGCUUAUGGGUGAAUGAAAAUGGCCACCCCAGCCCUGAUUGGACAACAUCCUUCAUUUCACACGUCAGCAAUCAUGUGGAAAUCCAUUCUGAUUGCAUUCAAAGUGAAGGUGGAAAAAAAAAUAUCUUUCCAGCUAUUUGACACAGGAAAGAGCUCACUGCUCUGCACAAACCUGAAGAGCUCACCGAAUGCAUCUUUCCUGUGACUGUAGUGGACACAUCGUUGGCGCUCAGGCUUCUCUGUUGCUUCCUGGAGCGUCCACCCACAGUCAUUCUCCAGCCUUUCCCGUUCCUGGAUGGCAGGCAGAGCAGCACGUCGGGCGAGGGAAUGAGUGCUCAGCUGAAAUAAAUGCCUGGAGAAGACGGAUGCCUGCGGUGCAGGAGGAUUGGCCGAGGCAUCCAUUCUCCAGCUGCUAGAAAGAAGAGUUGGGUGCUGAAGGAUGACAUCAUCAAAACAACAUUGGAGGGCUUCCCUGGUGGCGCAGUGGUUGAGAAUCUGCCUGCCAAUGCAGGGGACACAGGUUCGAGCCCUGGUCUGGGAAGACCCCACAUGCUGUGGAGCAACUAGGCCUGUGAGCCACAACUACUGAGCCUGCGCGUCUGGAGCCUGUGCUCCGCAGCAAGAGAGGCCGCGACAGUGAGAGGCCCGCGCACCGCGAUGAAGAGUGGCCCCUGCUCACCGCAACUAGAGAAAGCCCUUGCACAGAAACGAAGACCCAACACAGCAAAAAUAAAUAAAUAAAUAAAUUUAUAAAAAACAAAAAAACCCAAAAAAAACAACAUUGGAGGAAGAUGCAUUUGGCAUCAGUGUCCAGGAUAACUUCAGGAUGAUCUGCCCAUGAACCCAGCUGUCCUGGAAUCACUGGGGCCAAGGAGGGAGCUGGAAUAAUAAUCCAGAUGUGAGGUGAUAGAGGCAUAGUGAUAGCAAGUGGUAGAAAUGAAGAGGAAAGAUUGGCUAUAAAGACAUUUAAAAGGAAGAAUCCCUACCACUUUGUGAAUGCGAUAGAAAAUUCUAAAAUAAUGAGUCUGAGUGUCUUGACUGACUUGUCAACACCAGAAAGAGAGAGGAGUGAGGAGGGGCAGUUGGACCCCAGGGAAAUAUGAGUUGACCUUUGGACAUACCGAGUUCUACAACACAGUGAAACGCCCAGGUGGAAAUUCUCCAGCUCUAUCCCUAUCGUUUUAGGACACUGUUAUUCUCCAAGGGAGAUAUUGCUGAUAUCAGAUCUGGAGAUGGCAAAGGGAAAUUUAAGACAAGUGAAGAACAAGCUAAGUUUGAAAACGUUGAGGGCACGGCACCGCCCUCAGCCCUGCUGAGACAUGCCUCGGUGUUCUGGUUGGAUAUGUGAUCUCCCAUCAUCUUGACUACCUGCCAGGCUAAAUGCCCUCAUACAUUGACUAUGUUCUGGCUUAGACUCCUGCUUCUCGUCGCCUGCAAGUAUUUAGCUUGUGGUCAGGGAUUCAAGAUGUCAACUUUAUGACUUAACACAGAAGAGCAUUCUUCUUUUACAGUGGGCUCAAAUAUGGAAGCCUCCAAAUCUGUCGGGUAGAUACAUAAAUCAGACUUAUAUUGAGUGGAAUGCCAGUGUCUCUGAUCUAGUCCUCUUGGUAAAGUUUAACUCAUCCUUUGAGAGUUAACUCAAAAGUUACUGUCUCUAAGUAGCCUUCCUGACUUCCCCAGGUGGUUAGUCUUUUCAUUGUCCACGUUGCCACACACUUUGUUCUGCUUUGUGCUAGAGUGCACAGAAAAGUCUAUGUGUCUGUCUCCCACCACUAGACUGGGAGCAUCCAGAAGAUGGGCACCACUGAUUCAUCUUUGUAUUUCCCACUCCCUUAACAGAGUGGGGCUCGUGGGUGAUAGUUCAUUGUUGGAAAUAUCCAGAAGAGAAAAUUUAAGAACGUGGAUGGAAUGAUAUGCAGUUGCUGUAGCAAAACCUGUAUACACAUCAUAUGUCACAUCCCCGCUGAUGCUGUUAAUGCUGCACCAGCAGAGGCAGUGCUCUCAUUACAUGCUGCUGGCCCAUAUUUGUAACGUGUGACAUUUUUUAUGAAAUACUGUCAAGGGUAAUCCAUCACAUAGUAACCUUUGGAUUAUAUGCCGAGACUGAUCUUCAACAUAGACAUAAAUGAACUUCAAGGAUAGUGCUAUUUUCUGAGAAGGGUGUGAUCAAGGGUUCUGGCUAGGAAAAUGAAGCAGAACAUUAUUUUCUUUUAAGUUAAACCCAAGUGCCUGAAAAAGAGGUUUCCUUCUGUCAGCCCCAGUGGGGACAUGGUUAUUGUGUGAAGAUAAUCCGAUGACUCUGAAAUGUGGCAGAAUAUUUUUUUCUUAGACUACAUCAGGGUUUGAAAAGGGGGUGAAGAGUUGCUAAAGGUUUGACCACCCUUGGAACUUGCGAGGUUUGUAAUAUCUUUAUCUUUAUCUAAUAUCUUUAUCUCAAGAGGUGUUUUAAAAAAAUAAAAGGACACAUGACAACUUGA